UGGGGUUAGAUUUAGUACGUAAGCGCUAUGGAUGGCGAAUAGUGCAUGCUACUGGCACGGGGUAGUAGUAUCUAUGAAGAUUCCCACCUCCA
rfam:Glossina brevipalpis unplaced genomic scaffold Scaffold299, whole genome shotgun sequence.